UACGUAGGCAGCGAGCGUUGUUCGGAAUUACUGGGAGUAAAGAGUGUGUAGGCGGUGCUCUAAGUUUGUUGUGAAAUCUCCCGGCUUAACUGGGAGGGUGCGGCGAAAACUGGAGUGCUCGAGUAUGGGAGAGGUAAGCGGAAUUCCUGGUGUAGCGGUGAAAUGCGUAGAUAUCUGGAGGAACACCGGUGGCGAAGGCGGCGUUCUGGACUGCAACUGACACUGAGGAACGAAAGCCAGGGGAGCAAAAGGG
rnacentral:rRNA from 1 species